UACGUAGGGUGCAAGCGUUGUCCGGAAUUAUUGGGCGUAAAGAGCUCGUAGGCGGUUCGUCGCGUCGGCUGUGAAAUCCCGAGGCUCAACCUCGGGUCUGCAGUCGAUACGGGCGGACUGGAGUUCGGCAGGGGAGACUGGAAUUCCUGGUGUAGCGGUGAAAUGCGCAGAUAUCAGGAGGAACACCGGUGGCGAAGGCGGGUCUCUGGGCCGAUACUGACGCUGAGGUGCGGAAGCGUGGGGAGCAAACAGG
rnacentral:rRNA from 1 species